AAGCAUUGCCCCGGGGUCUCCAGACGGUAGCAAGCGACCAAGGUUAGAAUAACUCAAGGAUCAAGUUUGCAACUGAUCGAAUUUGCUAGCUAGCUGGUUUCACAAUGCACCGGGCAACAAGAAGGGGAUAUACGGGCGAUCCGCCAACAAAGGUACUAGAGAGAGAGAACGCCGAUGCGCACAAGGAUCAAGUCAAGGGCUUAAACGGCAGAAUCAGUAAAUUAAACGACACAAUAAAAGAGUUAAACGACACGAUCGAGGCGCUGGAGAGGCAGGUUCAGAACCUGACCAGGUACAAGGAAGAGAAGCAGAAGCAGCACGCGAAUCUUCAGAAAGAAUUCGCAGAGCUGGAGAGGAAAUACAGAGACCUGGAUGCAGCCCACAGGAAUUGCGGCCCCACUGUCAGAUUCCCUGUUUUCACCGUCGGACAACCCUACUAUCACCGCCACAAUUGAUCGAUCGAUAUGAUCGAUCUGCACAACCAUCGAAUGCCCUACGUACGUACCUGAAUAUAUGUAUAAGUAUCUAUACAGUAUAUGCAGGGUUGUGUGUGAUGUAUAUGCAUGCCUAUGAGAGUUGCGAGUGUACUGUAUGUAUAUGUGUGUGAAGAAUAAAGCUGCAUGUAUACUGGCAGCUAUAUAUCUAGAGCAUGCAACAUUGAUAUGUGAUCGAUCGAUGUCAUGCAACCUCUCCUGUUCCUGCAGCUGGAUGUAAUAUUGAAAUGCAAAGUGUGGUCAGUACAUAUAUAUAUACUUGUUGUUAUACGCUGGUUA